UACGUAGGGGGCCAGCGUUGUCCGGAAUCAUUGGGCGUAAAGCGCACGUAGGCGGCUUCGCAAGCCGGAUGUGAAAUCCCUCGGCUCAACCAAGGACGUGCAUCCGAAACUGCGGGGCUUGAGUACUGAAGAGGAUCGCGGAAUUCCCGGUGUAGAGGUGAAAUUCGUAGAUAUUCGGAAGAACACCAGUGGCGAAGGCGGCUCACUGGCCCGGUACUGACGCUGAGGUGCGAAAGCGUGGGGAGCAAACAGG
rnacentral:rRNA from 1 species